rnacentral:rRNA from 1 species
UACGUAGGGUGCGAGCGUUGUCCGGAAUUAUUGGGCGUAAAGAGCUCGUAGGCGGCUUGUCGCGUCGUCCGUGAAAACCUGCAGCUCAACUGCAGGCUUGCGGUCGAUACGGGCAGGCUAGAGUUCGGUAGGGGAGACUGAAAUUCCUGGUGUAGCGGUGAAAUGCGCAGAUAUCAGGAGGAACACCGGUGGCGAAGGCGGGUCUCUGGGCCGAUACUGACGCUGAGGAGCGAAAGCGUGGGGAGCGAACAGG